rnacentral:rRNA from 1 species
GACGAACGCUGGCGGCAUGCCUAACACGUGCAAGUCGAACGAGAUCUUCGGGUCUAGUGGCGCACGGGUGCGUAACGCGUGGGAAUCUGCCCUUUGGUUCGGAAUAACAGUUGGAAACGACUGCUAAUACCGGAUGAUGACGAAAGUCCAAAGAUUUAUCGCCAGAGGAUGAGCCCGCGUAGGAUUAGCUAGUUGGUGUGGUAAAGGCGCACCAAGGCGACGAUCCUUAGCUGGUCUGAGAGGAUGAUCAGCCACACUGGGACUGAGACACGGCCCAGACUCCUACGGGAGGCAGCAGUGGGGAAUAUUGGACAAUGGGCGAAAGCCUGAUCCAGCAAUGCCGCGUGAGUGAUGAAGGCCUUAGGGUUGUAAAGCUCUUUUACCCGGGAUGAUAAUGACAGUACCGGGAGAAUAAGCUCCGGCUAACUCCGUGCCAGCCGCCGCAGUAA